GUGCAGAUGUUGCUCACAUUGUCUAGAGUACUGAGGAUGAGGAUCUUAAGAUACAUAUUCACUGAAUAUGUAUUCAUAUUAAUAUUCACGGAUUCCCACUUUCGCAAUAAUGAUUGUCUCCACAUAUAAAAUGUGAGUUAUGUUAUAUUAUGAGAGUCAUGUAAGUUAGGUAUGUUAUUUUAUUUAUCAUAUUUAACAAGUCUACUCAUUAACGAGAACAAGCGCAUAUAUAACAGAUGUAUGCACUCAUAAAGAUCUCAUCAAGAAGAUCACAGAUAGCAAGUUCCAGUUUUUAAUGGCUGGGAAAUGGAAUUAUGCAACUUCAACCUUGUCAGAAGAUUUGCAAUUCAAUAUGUAUUAGCCCAGCGUUCUCAUCCAAGUCUACAAAUUUGAAUACAUGCACAGAAUUGCGUCCUACGUACGAGACGUACUUCGAGUUACUGUACUUAAGAAUCCCUUGUUAGUUACGUUUAUUUCCUUGUGGAUCCCGAUUCUCUUAGAGGUAAAGUACCGACAAGGCCUUAAAAAUCCACGACUACGCAUUAUUCUUGCCCAGUAUAAAAUUCAAACUCCUUUAUGCGGUUGGUGAAAUUGUAAAUUUGUAGGCUUCCAAAAUCGAAAUGUAUCAACAAGUUAGUUUCCUGCAUGUAAUGGGAUUCCUGGGUUAUUUUCAAUACCUCAUUAUCUUGGCAAUUACGUACAGAAUAUUCAAUCAAGGAAAUAAUGAAGCAUCGUGUCAAAUAUAUGUAUACAUAUAUAUUGCAAAAUUUGCAAUAUAUAUAAUCAUUCUGUAGCAUUUAAUGCUACAGAAUGAUUAUUAUAUUAUUUAUCUAUGAAGUUAAUCAAGCAUUGAACGAGUUCUCGAAUCUGUUUCAAUAUCAUGGUAAUACCGAAAUGCCGAAAUACCAAAAUUCUGGAAUUGCAACAUUGAAAAACUGCUAUACUUGCAGUAAUCAAUUGCAGUAAUGCAGUAAUCUAAUACAUUGAAGGGAUGCGUUAGCGACUAACAGACACACAGACAGAGAAUGGACUGGUCUUAUAUAUGUUUACAGAAGCCUUAAUCUUUCCAGUAAGACGGCUAAGCUUUAAGAAGAAGUUAAUGUCAAAUGCAGAAAUUUUUUUGUGGAUCACCUAACGUCACUUUUAGAAAAUUAGUUAAUUAGCAAAAUGAUGGGAAUCAUACAAAAGUAUAUAAAACUAUAUAAAUCCCCCAAUAGUACCACUUACAACUUAUAGGUAAGAGGAAGUGAGAGCGCACGUCACCACUCUCUCUGCCACAUUAAUAAAUUUUUACUUCAAAGUUUUGAAAUAAAUCGGUGACCCCCCACUUCACAAAGUAGUACACGUCCCGGACAUAGUCCAAUAACAGCAGUGCAAAUCGAAAAAGUGACAAAAGUGACCGUCUUGACCGCUUUUUCUGGUCACUACCGAACCUUCCCUUGUGUCACCAUAGCACACCCGCUCAAAGGAAGUGGACUCUCCCAACCAGAUGCUGCAACAGGCGGAGAACCAGGAGCGGAGGAAUACAAAGGGCCACUCACACCAAUCGCACUGCCAAGAACAACCCCCCAAACCGGAAGGAAAUCCUCACACUACUAUCUUGUCUCUUUGAGAGCCAUAUCUCGAGCAUUCGAGAUAAGCCGAGGUUAUAGAGUCCAAUUUUAAACACAUAUUAGAGCACAUUUUAAUUACCUCUCUCCUAUAAGGGCUACCACACUGACGACCCCCCCCCUCCCCCAUAAAAUGUCCCUACCUCCAAGCCCUGCUAUGUCUGUGGAGGAUAUUAUCAAAUUGGCCAAUCCAGCCACCAACGUUAUUAUUUUGGAAGGGACGAGGGAGGACCCUGCCAAUGCAAAAAUUGAUCAUCACCUCGACUUUCUCACCUGGGACCACGAGUCAGCGGAUGGACCUGACUGCUUUCUAUGCGGCGAACGUGUCUUCGAUAUCUCCUACUGUGUCACUUUCAAGGGAGUCAAUUAUUCUGUUAUCUUCAAAGGCGAUCCCAUUGACUACCACACAAAUCCUGACGGCUGGGAAGACGGCGUUAUUCAAUGCACAUUUUGUUUCAAUUAUUUCACAAAAGCCGUUGUAACCUUUAUUUGUCAAAUGUAUCCUAUUUGAAUAUCUUGCAAUCCAAAAGUUGGUCAUGUCCUAAUUGUGUGCCCACGUUUAAAUGUAAAGACAAUGUGAGCACGACCAUUAAUUA